ACGUAUGGUGCAAGCGUUAUCCGGAUUUACUGGGUGUAAAGGGUGCGUAGGUGGCAAGGCAAGUCUGAAGUGAAAAUCCGGGGCUCAACCCCGGAACUGCUUUGGAAACUGUUUAGCUAGAGUACAGGAGAGGUAAGUGGAAUUCCUAGUGUAGCGGUGAAAUGCGUAGAUAUUAGGAGGAACACCAGUGGCGAAGGCGACUUACUGGACUGCUACUGACACUGAGGCACGAAAGCGUGGGGAGCAAACAG
rnacentral:rRNA from 1 species